CAAUAAGCGGAGGAAAAGACACCAACAGGGAUUGCCUCAGUAACGGCGAGUGAAGCGGCAACAGCUCAAAUUUGAAAUCUGGCCUCUUUUCGGGGUCCGAGUUGUAAUUUGUAGAGGAUGUUUCGGGUACCGCCCCGGUUUAAAUUUCUUGGAACAGAAUGUCAGAGAGGGUGAGAAUCCCGUCUUGGACCGGCGGUAGGGCCCAUGUGAAACUCCUUCGAUGAGUCGAGUUGUUUGGGAAUGCAGCUCAAAAUGGGUGGUAAAUUUCAUCUAAAGCUAAAUAUUGGCCAGAGACCGAUAGCGCACAAGUAGAGUGAUCGAAAGAUGAAAAGCACUUUGAAAAGAGAGUUAAACAGUAUGUGAAAUUGUUGAAAGGGAAGCGCUUGCAACCAGACUUGAGCGCGGCGGUUCCCCCUUCCUUCUGGUUGGGUUACUCCGCCGUGUCCAGGCCAACAUCGGUUCUGGGGGCCGGUCAAAGGCCCGAGGAAUGUACCUACUCCUCCGGGGGUAGACUUAUAGCCUCGGGUGUCAUGCGGCCUCCCGGGACCGAGGAACGCGCUUCGGCUCGGAUGUUGGCGUAAUGGUUGUCAGCGACCCGUCUUGAAACACGGACCAAGGAGUCUAACAUCUAUGCGAGUGUUUGGGUGUCAAACCCGGAACGCGAAAUGAAAGUGAACGGAGGUAGGAAGCCUUUGGGCUGCACUAUCGACCGAUCCUGAUGUCUUCGGAUGGAUUUGAGUAAGAGCAUAGCUGUUGGGACCCGAAAGAUGGUGAACUAUGCCUGAAUAGGGUGAAGCCAGAGGAAACUCUGGUGGAGGCUCGCAGCGGUUCUGACGUGCAAAUCGAUCGUCAAAUUUGGGUAUAGGGGCGAAAGACUAAUCGAACC
rnacentral:rRNA from 1 species